GUAACAAGGUAGCCGUACCGGAAGGUGCGGCUGGAUCACCUCCUAACAGGGAGACAACAAAAUGUAAAUAUUAAUUUUGUCACCUUAGGUCGAUCGGUAUCUCAGAUUCUUAUUUUUUAAGAAUUUCAGUUUUUAAGUUUUUUCUAGGUCACACCCAUCACUUUUUCCUGGGCCAUUAGCUCAGGUGGUUAGAGCGCACCCCUGAUAAGGGUGAGGUCCCUGGUUCAAGUCCAGGAUGGCCCAUAUCUYUAAGUUGGGGGUAUAGCUCAGUUGGUAGAGCGCCUGCUUUGCAAGCAGGAUGUCAGCGGUUCGAGUCCGCUUACCUCCACUGAAUACCACCUCUUACAUUUAUUUAAAGAUGGAAAUUGUUUUGAGUUGUGUCCUAAUUUGCUCUGAGCGAAUCUAGCUUCCUAUUUUAUUCAAUAAAUAAGAUGCUGGACUCAUUGAAUUUUUUCAUUGUUUUCAGAGAACCUUGACAACUGCAUAGAUUUUUUUUUGAAGACAAUAAGCAUCUUUAAUGAUGCAGAUUUAUUAUUUGUGCGAAUGCAUUAAAUAACAAUUCUAUUAAGCUGAUGCUUCAAUUAUUGAAGUUAUUGGUCAAGC
rnacentral:misc_RNA from 1 species